rnacentral:rRNA from 1 species
AUGACCCCACACUCCGGCAGCUUUGCCUGCGCCGCGGCAAGGUCGAAACUUGCACGGUCGGCGACCCCAGGACCUCGCGCAAGGCCAAGAUCGUCACGGCCAGUGGUGAAUCUACGGAGUAAAUGUAGGGACAAGAAGACCGUGGAUGAUGCCCUGCUGGACAUCUGCUGCCUACUCGAGUGCCCAAGGGCAUCUCUCAAAAUGCUUGAACUUGGUCCGGGGACGGUCGUUGGGCCGCUGAUAUUCACAAUGGAAGAUGGCGCAGAGAACCAUUGCAGGUCAUUCGGUCCGAGUGGAGCCCGGGUAGAUGACGGGAUCUCUAAUAUUACUGUCGAACAAGGUGCAAUGGUCAAUUUCAUCCUACUAGUCCAGAGGGAUGAUGUUUUUUGGGAUUUUGCUCGGUCGCAACUCCGCCACGAAUUGAAUUGUGUGGUCAUGACAGGCGGUGAUGAGGAACCAAAUGUCAUGACACGGGCUUUCUUGCACAGACUCAAGGAUUGUCUGUCUGUCCCUGUGUAUGCGCUCACCGAUUCAGAUCCAGAGGGAAUUUCGAUCUUUUGUACCUACAAGUUUGGAUCAACGGAGAUGCCAUUUGACAAUGUGGGUCUUACCAUUCCUGAUAUCAAGUUGAUUGCGUAUAUAGGUGAUGAUGCCCUUCAUUUGAGUCACCUUCAAUUGCUGGCCAAGCACGACAGAUCGAUUCUUGAGGGAUUGUGUGCCCAAAAGCAUCCUCCUAAUGACUACAUCCGCAAAGCAGUAGGCAAGCUGGAGGACAUCUAA